rnacentral:rRNA from 1 species
GACGAACGCUGGCGGCGUGCUUAACACAUGCAAGUCGAACGCUGAAGCUUGGUGCUUGCACUGGGUGGAUGAGUGGCGAACGGGUGAGUAAUACGUGAGUAACCUGCCCUUGACUCUGGGAUAAGCCUGGGAAACUGGGUCUAAUACUGGAUAUGACAUGCCACUGCAUGGUGGUGUGUGGAAAGGGUUUUACUGGUUUUGGAUGGGCUCACGGCCUAUCAGCUUGUUGGUGGGGUAAUGGCCUACCAAGGCGACGACGGGUAGCCGGCCUGAGAGGGUGACCGGCCACACUGGGACUGAGACACGGCCCAGACCCCUACGGGAGGCAGCAGUGGGGAAUAUUGCACAAUGGGCGGAAGCCUGAUGCAGCGACGCCGCGUGAGGGAUGACGGCCUUCGGGUUGUAAACCUCUUUCAGCACGGAAGAAGCGAGAGUGACGGUACGUGCAGAAGAGGCGCCGGCUAACUACGUG